GCUGACGCCACAUGGUUCCUUUUGGCCAUGGUAUUUACCACUGACCAGGCUCAAUUGUGAGCCCGCUACAGCAGCAUUCUCCCCCCUGGAUUUUGUCCUCUCGUAGAUUAUUUUUUAUACUAAAAAAGUUCUUUGUCUGCUGUAAAAUCUGAACAAAGUAUUGAAAUCUCAAGAACUGAGGAGAAUAUAUUUUUAAAUCAAACCGCACCAGAAUUGCAGGACCAAUGCAGUCCAAGCAACAAUAAUAAGAAGAAAUGCUCUUUAAUCGUGACCUUUGAUGAUGACAUCGUCGUGUUUAAAAGAUCAAGAAAGCUUGGUCCAGUUGUGCCAGGUGGGAACUGACCUCAAUAUCAAUGUACUUGAAAAUACUUAUAUGUCAUGCUGUUAAAGGAAAAUUUACUGCUGUCAAAGAUGCAUUUACCAACUAAUAGGACACCAUAUAAUUUGUUAAUAAUAGGUGAAUGGAUAUUUAUUCAAGAUGAACUAAAGAGGAAAACGUACGUUGUUUACAUUCCCUUGCUUUAUGGCCAGUUAGGCCACAAUUAUGACAUUUUCCUGGAAAUGAAAAUUUGUUAGCUAGGUUAGAACUGUGGAAAUAUCCACAAUAAAAACAACAUAGUCAUGGUAAGCAAAGUUUCAAUACCUCUGAAUUUUGUACUUCUCUUGCCUUCUAUAAAGGAGAAAAGACACUUGUUCAAAAUAAUCGUUGUAUAUACUAAAAUAUAAAAAUAAUAAAAACAUACCACUCUUGCAUUGCCAAGCCUUGUGACCUCUAAGUCCACAAUUAUGACACUCGCCUAAAGGAAAAGGUUGUUAAAUAGGCUCUAUAGGUUAAAUAGUUUUAUGCAUCUUAAGACCCGUUUCAGUCGUUGAACUUUUCAGGUGCCAAAUUGAAUGCAAAUGAACUUAAUGAAAGACUUUAACUCAUAAACAUUAGGCAAAAUGAAAAUUUCG